UUUUAGAAAGCAUGGUGUUCUCUAUCUUCCAAUAUCGGCCUACCCGAUUUUUUUCACGGAAAAAAUCGCAAAAAAUACCCCUCUUUAAAGUAGAAUUUUUAUCUGC
rnacentral:sRNA from 1 species